UUCCUAAUUAUGCUCUAGCAGUUUAUAUUUCUCUAGUCAAGUUGUUUGAAUGAACUGUAAUUUAUACCUGUUAAAUCAGUGUAUACUUAAUUGAACCACCCCGAUUAUCCUAACAGAAAUAAGGUUAUCGAUCUGUUCGUGGCUGUUAGGAACAUGAUACAUUUACACUGUACAUGUGAAUGUGUGUGUAAGCGUCAGAGGACGUCCAGGCCUUAGUUGGGACAAAAGACAAGAGUCAGUCGUUACAAGUAUCUGGAAGAGUCGGUUGGCAACAAGCGUGCGUGCGAGUAGGAUUUCGGGAUCGAGUGAGUCUUCAGUAAGGAAAGAAACGUUCAAAGGUUACAAAGAGGAAAAAUACACUUCGAGCACGUAGGAACGCUUGAGUAAGAGAUAAGGAAUCAUUUUAAAUGGAGAGAUUGGAAAUCAUGAUACCUAUUUUCGAUGGAUAUUUACGGUAUGUGGAAGCAAAGAAU
rnacentral:misc_RNA from 1 species